rnacentral:rRNA from 1 species
AUUGAACGCUGGCGGCAUGCCUUACACAUGCAAGUCGAACGGCAGCACGGGUGCUUGCACCUGGUGGCGAGUGGCGAACGGGUGAGUAAUACAUCGGCACAUGUCCUGUAGUUGGGGAUAGCCCUGCGAAAGCCGGAUUAAUACCGCAUACGAUUCACGGCUGAAAGCGGGGGACCUUCGGCCUUCGCGCUUUAGGGUUGGCCGAUGGCUGAUUAGCUAGUUGGUGGGGUAAAGGCCUACCAAGGCGACGAUCAGUAGCUGGUCUGAGAGGACGACCAGCCACACUGGAACUGAGACACGGCCCAGACUCCUACGGGAGGCAGCAGUGGGGAAUUUUGGACAAUGGGCGAAAGCCUGAUCCAGCAAUGCCGCGUGUGUGAAGAAGGCCUUCGGGUUGUAAAGCACUUUUGUCCGGAAAGAAAUCCUUCACUCUAAUACAGUCGGGGGAUGACGGUACCGGAAGAAUAAGCACCGGCUAACUACGUG